AUGGUGAGGGUGUCGGUGGUGUGCUGCCUCAAGCUGCUGCUGCUGCUCGCCCUCGGCGGGGUCACCAUGCACGUGCCGGACGCGGGCGUGCUGGCGCCGCUGCGCCUCGACGGCUACCUCAGCUUCCACGACGUGGCCGCCGCGGCCCGUGACUUCGGCAACCGCUGCAGCCUGCUGCCGGCCGCCGUGCUGCACCCGGGUUCCGUGGCCGAUGUUGCCUCUGCCGUGCGCCGCGUGUUCCAGCUCGGCGAGCGCUCCCCGCUCACGGUCGCCGCGCGCGGCCACGGGCACUCGCUGCUGGGCCAGUCACAGACCGCCGGCGGGAUCGUCGUCCGGAUGGAGUCCCUCGGGGGCGGCGCCAGGAUGAGGGUGCACGCCGGCGGCGCAGGUGCCGAUGCGCCUGCCUACGUCGACGCCCCCGGAGGCGCGCUCUGGAUCAACGUGCUGCAUGAGACGCUCAAGCACGGGCUGGCGCCCAAGUCGUGGACCGACUACCUCCAUUUGACAGUCGGCGGCACCUUGUCGAAUGCCGGGGUCAGCGGCCAGGCGUUCCGGCAAGGACCGCAGGUCAGCAAUGUCAACCAGCUGGAGAUUGUGACAGGGAGAGGAGAUGUGGUCACCUGCUCGCCCGAGGAGAACUCCGACCUUUUCUACGGCGCUCUCGGCGGCCUGGGCCAGUUCGGCAUCAUCACCAGAGCCAGGAUCGCCCUCGAACCUGCACCCAAGAUGGUGAGGUGGAUCCGGGUUCUCUACUCGGACUUCGCGAGCUUCACCGAGGACCAGGAGGCGCUGAUCUCGGCGGAGAGGACCUUCGAUUACAUCGAGGGGUUCGUGAUCAUCAACCGGACGGGCAUCCUCAACAACUGGAGGACGUCGUUCAAGCCGCAGGACCCGGUGCAGGCGAGCCACUUCCAGUCGGACGGGAAGGUGCUCUACUGCCUUGAGAUGACCAAGAACUUCGACCCUGAUGAGGCUGACAUCAUGGAACAGGAGGUUGGUGUGCUGCUGUCUCGGCUGAGAUACAUACAGUCAACCCUCUUCCACACCGAUGUCACGUACCUCGAGUUCCUGGACAGGGUGCACUCCUCCGAGCUCAAGCUCAGGGCCCAGGGCCUCUGGGAGGUUCCACACCCAUGGCUCAACCUCCUGAUCCCGAGAAGCACCAUCCACCGGUUCGCGACGGAGGUCUUCGGCAACAUCCUGAAAGACAGCAACAAUGGCCCCAUCCUCCUCUACCCAGUAAACAGAUCAAAGUGGGACAACAGGACGUCAGUGGUGAUACCGGAGGAAGAAAUCUUCUACCUGGUGGGGUUCCUGUCGUCCGCACCGUCGGCCUCAGGCCACGGCAGCGUCGAGCAUGCGGUGAGCCUCAACGACAAGAUCGUAGACUUCUGCGACAAGGCGGGCGUCGGGAUGAAGCAGUACCUAGCGCCCUACACCACACAGCAGCAGUGGAAAGCCCACUUCGGGGCGAGGUGGGAGACAUUUGAGCGGAGGAAACACAUGUAUGAUCCCCUAGCAAUCCUAGCCCCAGGACAGAGAAUAUUUCCAAAGGCGUCGCUGCCCAUGUCCUCAUGA
rnacentral:rRNA from 1 species